AGAGUUUGAUCCUGGCUCAGAUUGAACGCUGGCGGAACGCUUUACACAUGCAAGUCGAACGGUAACGCGGAGAGAAGCUUGCUUCUCACCGGCGACGAGUGGCGAACGGGUGAGUAAUACAUCGGAACGUGUCCGCUCGUGGGGGACAACCAGCCGAAAGGUUGGCUAAUACCGCAUGAGUUCUACGGAAGAAAGAGGGGGACCCGCAAGGGCCUCUCGCGAGCGGAGCGGCCGAUGACUGAUUAGCCGGUUGGUGAGGUAACGGCUCACCAAAGCAACGAUCAGUAGCUGGUCUGAGAGGACGACCAGCCACACUGGGACUGAGACACGGCCCAGACUCCUACGGGAGGCAGCAGUGGGGAAUUUUGGACAAUGGGCGCAAGCCUGAUCCAGCUAUUCCGCGUGUGGGAUGAAGGCCCUCGGGUUGUAAACCACUUUUGUAGAGAACGAAAAGACACCUUUUAAUAAAGGGUGUUGCUGACGGUACUCUAAGAAUAAGCACCGGCUAACUACGUGCCAGCAGCCGCGGUAAUACGUAGGGUGCGAGCGUUAAUCGGAAUUACUGGGCGUAAAGGGUGCGCAGGCGGUUGAGUAAGACAGAUGUGAAAUCCCCGAGCUUAACUCGGGAAUGGCAUAUGUGACUGCUCGACUAGAGUGUGUCAGAGGGAGGUGGAAUUCCACGUGUAGCAGUGAAAUGCGUAGAUAUGUGGAAGAACACCGAUGGCGAAGGCAGCCUCCUGGGACAUAACUGACGCUCAGGCACGAAAGCGUGGGGAGCAAACAGGAUUAGAUACCCUGGUAGUCCACGCCCUAAACGAUGUUAACUAGUUGUUGGGAAGUAAAAUUCUCAGUAACGCAGCCAACGCGAGAAGUUAACCGCCUGGGAAGUACGGUCGCAAGACUAAAACUCAAAGGAAUUGACGGGGACCCGCACAAGCGGUGGAUGAUGUGGAUUAAUUCGAUGCAACGCGAAAAACCUUACCUACCCUUGACAUGUCAGGAAGCUCUUGUAAUGAGAGCGUGCCCGCAAGGGAGCCUGAACACAGG
rnacentral:rRNA from 1 species